CGCGCAAAUUACCCACUCCCAGUACGGGGAGGUGGUGACGAAAAAUACCGAUGCGGGACUCGUCAAUGAGGCUCCGUAAUCGGAAUGAGUGAACUCUAAAUCCUUUCACGAGGAUCAAUUGGAGGGCAAGUCUGGUGCCAGCAGCCGCGGUAACUCCAGCUCCAAUAGCGUAUAUCAAAGUUGCUGCAGUUAAAAAGCUCGUAGUUGGAUCUCGGUAUCAUUGGGGCCUGCUGAUAGUGCCCGGCAGUGUUGCGACAAGUUCAAUGCACUGCUGUGGUUCUUGAAGUAAUAGUCCUGGUGUAACCUUUCAGCCAUGUCUGUGGUGAAAUACCCGCAGGUGUAAGCUAGUUUCAAGCGUUGUUUUGCGUAAGCAAGGCACGUUGGCUAGUUUGCAUGCCUUUGGAUGCCCUUCAUUAGGUGUCUGGGGCGGAUGGCACGUUUACUUUGAACAAAUUUGAGUGCUCAAACCAGGCCGAUGUUGCCUGAAAAGUUUUGCAUGGAAUAAUGGGAUAGGACUUCGGUUCUAUUUCGUUGGUUUUAUUUCGUUUGGUUUUCGGAAUCCGAAGU
rnacentral:rRNA from 1 species